rnacentral:rRNA from 1 species
CGUAGGUGGCGAGCGUUAUCCGGAAUCAUUGGGCGUAAAGGGUGCGCAGGUGGUACAUUAAGUCCGAAGUAAAAGGCAGCAGCUCAACUGCUGUUGGCUUUGGAAACUGGUGAACUGGAGUGCAGGAGAGGGCGAUGGAAUUCCAUGUGUAGCGGUAAAAUGCGUAGAUAUAUGGAGGAACACCAGUGGCGAAGGCGGUCGCCUGGCCUGCAACUGACACUGAGGCACGAAAGCGUGGGAGCAAAUAGGAUU